CCUACGGGAGGCAGCAGUGAGGAAUAUUGGUCAAUGGGCGCGAGCCUGAACCAGCCAAGUCGCGUGAGGGAUGACGGUCCUACGGAUUGUAAACCUCUUUUGCCGGGGAGCAAGCGUGCGUUCGUGAACGCUCGUCGAGAGUACCCGGAGAAAAAGCAUCGGCUAACUCCGUGCCAGCAGCCGCGGUAAUACGGAGGAUGCGAGCGUUAUCCGGAUUUAUUGGGUUUAAAGGGUGCGUAGGCGGUAUGUCAAGUCAAGGGUGAAAUCCCCGCGCUCAACGUGGGAACUGCCUUUGAAACUGGCAAACUGGAGUGUGUGAGAGGAGAGUGGAAUUCCAGGUGUAGGAGUGAAAUCCGUAGAUAUCUGGAGGAACAUCAGUGGCGAAGGCGACUAUCUGGCACAUAACUGACGCUGAGGAGCGAAAGCGUGGGUAGCAAACAGGAUUAGAUACCCCUGUAGUC
rnacentral:rRNA from 1 species